UCUCUCUAGACCGACGAAGUCCCACAUACAUUCAAUCUUUAUAUAGCUGUUCAAGAGAGCUGAGGUCUAGAGGUCCCUGUCCUGGAAGGAAUUGCGAGAGUGGGAGGUGUUGAAAGUCCAUUUCCAUCCAAAAUAUUUCAAAAUUGACGGUCCAGAAAAUCAGAGCACCAUUUGAUAAUCCUAUCUUUACAGGUUUGCUUGCUCGCUGCAUCAAUUAAACCGAUAUAUCUGUUAGUCCCAUCACACCUUAGUCCCAUCACAUCUACCAGAAGAUUACAGUUAUGGUGCAAACGGGAGAAGUAUGAGAAAUCAUCCGGGGAUUUACCUCUUCUCAUGCAGGAGAAUCAUAUAUAUCGACCCCAAGUAGUUCCACAGUAUCAGACUACAAAAAAUUCACUCCCCUCGCACUCUCCUGUAUUUUCAUCAGAAUUGGACUCUGAAACUCUAAUUUAAGCUGGAAUAUUGCUGAGGACAAUCAAUUUAAUAAUAAAUAAAAACAAAACAGUACCUGGCUUUUAUCUUGAGAGUUGAGAAUUGAGAGUUGGAGAGAGUGAAAUGAAAGCUCAUAUGGUGAUUUCAUCAUCUAUCUCUAUGCAAGGAAUGCGAGCUAGGUUUCUCCAAUCUUUUCCCUUCUUGUUCCGAUACCUCUUCUUCAGAGAAGGACAACCCCGGAUCUUCAGAUAAGAAAGAGAUGCCGGCAAACCCUCUUUUGGCAGGAAUUUGAGACUCUCGCACCCUUCAAUUUGUAGCCAUUGAAGAGAAGCGAGGUGCUCAAAUCCCUUUCCGUCCAAAGAUUUCAGAUUCGAUACUUCAUAGAUUUGGAGAGUGUGAAGAGUGGCAGGGAGCAGCUGUUCAUUGAGCAACGUCUCCACCAGAUCCCAGUUACAGUCACGGAUAAAUAAUGUUUGUAGGUUGGGAGGCAAACCCCCAACCUUUGGAAGACGAUCCUGUUGAGCAAAAAUUGUACAUAAUAUGUAAACAAAUAAUUCACUCGACACAAUUUUACCCUCGUUCAUUUUUCGAAGAGGGUUUUAUUAAUUCGAGUUCGACCCAUUAUAGGCUACGCGCCUAUUAAUUACAACCUUUCAUUUGGGAAAGGAACACCCUUUGAUUCUAAUAUGAAUAAAUCGUAACUUGGGAAUUUAGAUGUUUAUUUGAUUUUGUGACUGCAUCUAGAUAGAGCCCUAGAUUGCCUACGUACCCUCGUUGAGGGAUCAAGUCACUCGUAGUUCCUUGGUAUUUGGUACUUGUUUGAUUUUGAUGCCUUAUGCAGUUUUAGCUCAUGCAGGCGAGGACUUUAAGUCAUUAGAGCAUUAAUGCCUUGUGCAGUUUUAGCUCAUGUGGACGAGGACUUUUAAGCCAUUGGAGCAUUAAUGCCUUGUGCAGUUUUAGCUCAUGCAGGCGAGGACUUUAAGCCAUUGGAGCAAUAAUGCCUUGUGCAGUUUUAGCUCAUGCAGGCAAGGACUUUAAGUCAUUGGAGCAUUUGAUUCGGCUUCAUGCCAUUUGAGAUUUUUCUUCAGCUUCAUGCCUUUUGUGAUUUGAUGCGGCUUCAUGCCAUUUGAAAUUUAAAGCGGCUUCGUGCCAUUUGUAAUUUGAAUCGGCUCGCUUCUCUUUUACUCUUCGUAGAAUUUGUAAUUACUUGGUCAAAGUAACAGAAGUGAAUUUAGUUUAUAUAAACUAGGGAUUCGUCUUGAUUUCAACUUCACGGUUGCGUCUAAAAUUUUAAUAUUAGACUGCCUACGUAUCCUUAACGGAAUCAAACCGGCGUAGUUCAUAAAAACUUGAUAUCAUGGUUGUGUCUGAAAAUUGAUAUCAGACUGCCUACGUAUCCUUAAAGGAAUCAAACCAGCGUAGUUCAUAAAAACUUGAUUUGGAUUUGUAGAAUUUUUGUAUCAAUUAUAUGCCAACUGAUACAAUGGAUGAAUUUUCUUUGGAGAUCAUAUCCACUGACUUCACUUGGAAAGUCAUACCAAUUAAUUGUUUAAUGAGUAUAAUCCCCCUCGAUUGGCAACUUUGUUUCAUGAGUUCAGCCUGCUUCAUUUUUGAAAGCUUUGUUCCAGAUUUUUAUUCCACGGCAACACCACUUUUAAAGUUCUCUCUCAAUUCCAUUGGUAGCUCCUGGGUGGUCUUGUAUUUGUUGUUUGGGAAUACUGAUAAACUUUGUAGAAUUUAGCUUUGUCGUUUUUGUUUUUUUUUUCUUCUGUUUUUGGACAGAUAGACACCCUUUUAAUUGUUGGCUCUUUCAUCCUCGAACCAUCACGUGAGUGCCUCAUUUUCUUCCCUUUUUAUAUAUAUUUUCCUUUUGAUCUUUCAUCCCCAUUUAAGAUGGGACUUUGAACCCAUUUGACUGACAGCAAGCUUCACUCUUUUUUUUUUAACUUUACAGCUUCCAAAUUCAACAAACUCUAUUCUUCUCCACGUGAGGUGCCCAUUUUUUUCUUCCUUGCUUUCCUUUGUCUUGUCAACUUGUCAGUUUGUCAGCAAACUCUUUUUUCUUCGCUGGGAAUUUUUGAAACUUUUCCAAAUCCCGUAGAACUUUACGUGAGAGUAAACAUCUAUUUAUUUCCCUCCUGUAGUAACUUUUUCCUUGGUGGGAUUUAUGCCACGCGGAAUGAAAAAGGAUUUAAACACCUUUUGCUGGUUGAAGAGCUUCUGAAGUCUUUGAAUUCUUUUUGAGAGUCAUAACUCCUAUUUCACAUAAGCAGUGUAUCGAAGACUUAUGAAAGGAAGACAGCAACUUAUAUAUUCAUCUGCCGUUGCUUGUUCAUCCGUGAGGGAUGAAGGAUGACACACCAUUCAUUUGUCGUUGCUUGCUAAUCUCUCUCCUCUUGACUUUUAACGGAAACGGACGGCAUGUUGAACUCUUUCUCCUCCACGACGAGAUGUACAUUCCAAUUUGUUUUGCUCUUCAUGAUGUGUUGUUUGUACAUUUGUCUUUGCUUUCUUCAUGGACUUUGUGAAAGCUCCAGAGACUUUGAUGAAAUUCUUAUAAGAAAACUGCAGCGACUAUUUCAACUUCGGCAGCCACUGUGGUUGUUUUCACGGUGGAGGACUUCGUUCAUGACCACCCUUUUUUUAUGCCGUUGAUGAGAAAAAUGGAGUAUGCUGCGACGCUGGGCUUGCGGACCGGAGGACGGCGUGAUCGCUGUGGCCGUCGGUGUUGUUGAAGUGGUGGUGUCCGGUGACGUCGUAGCGGGCUGUUGCCAAAGUCCAGGUGAGAAGGCAGUCCUCCGGUUCCAGUUUGUCGCGAAAAGUGAGAGCUUCGGAGCCAUCACUAGGCACAGUGGUUUGGCACUGUUCCUUCAUGCAGGUUGUACUUCCAAACUUCUUUAGGCACCCAUUCCUUCAUUGACGCGACUUCCUUCGGGUUCUUCUGGUUUUAUGCAACACGGCAUUACCAAACCCAUCUCCUUCAAGCCGUAUCCUCCAUUGACGUGACUUCCUUCGGGUUCUUCUGGUUUUAUGCAACACGGCAUGACCAAACCCAUCUCCUUCAAUCCGUAUAAUGUACGGACGGUAAGUAUGGGUUACUUAGACUUUGAUUGGAACUUCACGGGGUGGUCUAGGCCACCCCGAAGAAAUUCAUGGGAUUCUUGGAGAUCAUUUCUGCUGCUCCACCUCCAUCUGUUUGGUGCAGGAAAAAUACCAAACAAAGAAACAAAGGCAAAAAAAGGCUAAAAGAAAUAUUAGAAAAUUUGAUUUGUCCUUCUCUUUUUCUUUCUUUUGUUUCCUUGCAUUGUGGACCAUUGCCAAACAAAGGGGAAUGUCAUGAACCAUUGCCUAGUGGUCUUUGGCUGCCAUUUUUUUUGCGUUGUUUCUUCCUUCGUGUCCUUCUCUGUUUCUUGUACAUAUAUACAACAUAACAAUAAUCAAGAGAAAAAUAAUUUUAACAGGGCUUUGUCUUGUACCUGGUGAUGAAUAUUCUUAUUUGGUUCUUGACUUGAAAGCACGAAUGGUUGAACUGCUUGCUCACUUUUCCGGCAGUACUUCGUUUUUUUUUUUGGUAUUUUCUCUCAAAGCCUCUCUUAGUUUCUGCAGAGUAUCCCCUCCCUUCUUUCCCUUUUUUUUUUUCUUGUUGUGGUUGAUGCCUAUUUAUAGGCAUCUUAGGAGGGUUCCAGCGUUCUUACGUGGGGGAGGAUAGAAGCCUUUCUUUUCGCCACUUUCUCUUAAACCGACUCCAUUUUUCCUUUUGUUGCAGAAAAUGGGGGAACGCCCCCUGUUUUGCACGUUUCCCCCUUUUCUAGGAAGGGAUUCAUAUUUUUAUUUUUUUAUUUUUUUAUUUCUGAAUGUUGUUUUGUAUGUAAGGCCCAUCCUCAUAUUUUGGGUUGGAUUACAUUUUUUUGCCUUGUAGUUUGACCCAAUUUGUAUGGACUUCAUUUUUUAUAUGUCAUGUAUUUUUAUUGUUCAACAGAUCCAUCGACAAAUAUUGAAGGGCGGUGAGGGUGUGCAUUCGGUCCGUCAACAACUUCAAAUUCUCGCAGUUGUAGACUUGAAAGAAAGUGAGGUUGGGAGUGGGCAAUCCCCGGUUGUGUGGCUGCAUAUGAAUCAGAAAAACAAUGAAUGGACCCCUUAGCGACUGGGAAAUCCUGCUAUGUGCUAUCAUGUACAUGAAGCACUACCACAGUUGAGUUGCUACUUACCAAGAAGGUUUCUAAAUUUGAGAGCCCGCUGCUCCAACUUUGACCAUCAAACUUGGGUUAAGGUAUAUCAUCAUCUAUUUCUCCACGGCAUCUUCCUCUAGAGCAGUUAACGAAUCAAAUGAUUACCUGCAUAUAUAGUGAGGAAAUCUGCAAUGUUUAAAUAAUUUUUUUCUUCGUUUGUUAACUUGCUAUGUGAAUCACACGACAUCACACACGCUAAUAUAUAGAAAACAAACCUCCAAGUCCAGAUGCAACUUUGAAUAUUCUCUUGAUUGCUCAUGAAAUCCACAAAGGUGAGAAGAAUGCUAAUAUAUAGAAUACAAGCCGACAAAUACGUUAGUCCCAUCGUGUUGUCCUGACUGAUUGCAUAGUUGAAUUACAUUGAUCCAUAAAGGAAGAAUAAAUUACACUCAAGUGUUCAACUACUUGCACUGAAAUCUGUAGGCGCAGCAGCUAGCCACCAAGUCUAUUUACACUGGCAUUCUAGCAAGCGGUGCCAAUAAGCCAUGCUCUCUUCAACCAUGGUGUUUGUAGACAAACAUAUGUAUAUAUGCACCUACCACAAGAUGACAGAGGCACUGAAAGAUGAGUAAGCAUUCCGCCAUAUGGAAACCACAGAAGUAUAGAUAUAUAUACACACAAGUACCUGAGUGGUUGAUGUAAGCAAACAUCGUUUUCCCUCAGAUACAUUCAAUCUUUAUAUAGCUGUUCAAGAGAGCUGAGGUCUAGAGGUCCCUGUCCUGGAAGGAACUGCGAGAGUGGGAGGUGUUGAAAGUCCAUUUCCGUCCAAAAUAUUUCAAAAUUGACGGUCCAGAAAAUCUGAGCACCAUUUGAUAAUCCUAUCUUUACAGGUUUGCUUGCUCGCUCGCUGCAUCAAUUAAACCGAUAUAUCUGUUAGUCCCAUCACAC
rnacentral:lncRNA from 1 species